GUGUGCUAGACGGGGAGCUAGCGGUGCCCUGUAACCUGCAAUCCGCUACAGCAGGGUCGAACGCCCGCCGAGGCAUAUUCUAUGGAAAGCCGACGGUUAUAAGGAAUGUUGAUCUCAAGGUCUUGUGCAAUUUCGGGUCGUGAACCGUGUCAGGGCCUGACCGCAGCAGCACUAAGCGAUUUACGGGAUGUGCCACGAGGAAGCUUUGAGGGAGUCACCUGUAACCGUGCCGAUUCGGUAGUUUAUGUCGGAGCGGGUGCACAC
rnacentral:SRP_RNA from 1 species